rnacentral:rRNA from 1 species
UACGUAGGGUCCCGAGCGUUGUCCGGAAUCAUUGGGCGUAAAGAGCAUGUAGGUGGAUCAAUAAGUCUGCUGUGAAAGUCGAAGGCUCAACCUUCGAAAGCCGGUGGAUACUGUUGAUCUAGAGUACGGAAGAGGCGAGUGGAAUUCCUGGUGUAGCGGUGGAAUGCGCAGAUAUCAGGAGGAACACCAAUAGCGAAGGCAGCUCGCUGGGACGUAACUGACACUGAGAUGCGAAAGCGUGGGGAGCAAACAGGAUUAGAAACCCUAGUAGU